AACGCUAGCGGCGCGCUUAAUGCAUGCAAGUCGAGCGAUGAGGCCCUCUUCGGGGGGUACAUCAGCGGCAGACGGGUGAGUAACACGUAGGUGAUCUACCCCAGAGACGGGGAUAACGGGUGGAAACAUCCGCUAAUACCGGAUAGACUUGUUCGGUCAAAGGGACAAGGAAAGGCUCCGGCGCUCUGGGAGGAGCCUGCGGCCCAUCAGCUAGUUGGCGGGGUAACGGCCCACCAAGGCAAAGACGGGUAGGGGGUGUGAGAGCAUGGCCCCCCACAAUGGGACUGGAACACGGCCCAUACUCCUACGGGAGGCAGCAGCAGGGAAUAUUGCACAAUGGACGGAAGUCUGAUGCAGCGACGCCGCGUGGAUGAAGAAGGCCCUCGGGUUGUAAAAUCCUUUACAGGGGGAAGAGGAAGGACGGUACCCCUGGAACAAGUGUCGGCUAACUACGUGCCAGCAGCCGCGGUAAGACGUAGGACACAAGCGUUAUCCGGAUUUACUGGGCGUAAAGCGUCUGCAGGCGGACAGGUAAGUUGGGCGUGAAAGCUCCGGGCCCAACCCGGAGAGGUCGUUCAAUACUGCGUGUCUAGAGGGUGUCAGAGGGGAGUGGAAUUUCCGGAGUAGCGGUAAAAUGCGCAGAGAUCGGAAAGAACACCAAUGGCGAAGGCAGCUCCCUGGGGCAACCCUGACGCUAAGAGACGAAAGCUAGGGGAGCGAACAGGAUUAGAGACCCUGGUAGUCCUAGCCCUAAACGAUGGAUGCUGGAUGUGGGGCCAUAGCGCUCCGUGUCGAAGCGAACGCGUUAAG
rnacentral:rRNA from 1 species